rnacentral:rRNA from 1 species
AGUGAACGCUGGCGGUAGGCCUAACACAUGCAAGUCGAACGGCAGCACAGUAAGAGCUUGCUCUUACGGGUGGCGGGUGGCGGACGGGUGAGGAAUACAUCGGAAUCUACUUUUUCGUGGGGGAUAACGUAGGGAAACUUACGCUAAUACCGCAUACGACCUACGGGUGAAAGCAGGGGAUCUUCGGACCUUGUGCGAUUGAAUGAGCCGAUGUCGGAUUAGCUAGUUGGCGGGGUAAAGGCCCACCAAGGCGACGAUCCGUAGCUGGUCUGAGAGGAUGAUCAGCCACACUGGAACUGAGACACGGUCCAGACUCCUACGGGAGGCAGCAGUGGGGAAUAUUGGACAAUGGGCGCAAGCCUGAUCCAGCCAUACCGCGUGGGUGAAGAAGGCCUUCGGGUUGUAAAGCCCUUUUGUUGGGAAAGAAAAGCAGCAGGUUAAUACCCCGCUGUUCUGACGGUACCCAAAGAAUAAGCACCGGCUAACUUCGUG